AUUGUCUAGCAGUAGGGACACCGCACCUACUCUAUGCACACUCAUCAGUCAUGUUAAGGAAAAACGAUGCUGCUUUUUUCAGCACAAGUUCUCUAAGACUCCAGAGAGACUCUCUGGAAGAUAUUCAAACAUUACUGACAAACAAGGCUGAAAAACACAGCUACUUCCUUUGCCAUUAGAUACCUGUUUCUCUGAAACGGGAGCAGUGAGACACCUGAUAGCCGUGGGAUGGAGCAGUGACCCCGUCAAGCAGCAGGCAAUGCAGGACUGGCUGUGCUGCCACAGUGAGUGCUGGGGACAUGGCUUCUGCCCACCUGAAGCCCUCCGUGGAGCUCUGGGUGCUGCAGGCUUGAGAACUUCAUCUCACAGUGUGACAGCAUGGGAAGGUCAGCUCUGAGCAGCUUCCAGCACCAGGAUGGAAAGCAAGGAUGGGUCAGUUCCCUCGGUGGCUGCCUUCACACAUGGAGCCUUGGGGAUGCUCUAGGAGUGGGCUCAGAGCAACGUUGAAGACAGAUAAGAUGCUCCAUAGGAACUGAAGAAUAGAACAACGCUUUGAUAGUCUUCACUGCCAAAGAAUCACCUGAGUUGGAAGAGACCUCUGAAGGCCAUCUGGUCCCACUCUCUGCAGUGCACAGGGCACCCACAGCUCCAUCACAGCUCACAGCCCAUCCCCUGACGUAAGCUGAGGAUAACAUAAGUGCCUACAGCAAGAAUUAUGAGAGAGGCAAAUAUUGUCUUAUCUGUACUACCGAUCUGUUAUCAUAGAAAUACUGCAAAUUAUUUAAAUGAGCACCUGUGAAACGUGUGAUGUGGGGUAAGAUUUGGGGUAGUGCAGGACUGUGCUCUGCCAGAGGGCUGCCGGGAUAGAUGGAGGCACAAUUAAUCUCACGGGUUCUGUGAGUCCAAAGAAAGACUUCUGGCUGCACCCCGACUGGCAGGAAGGCAGCCCAGGAGGAGCUGCAGCCCAAGGCUCUGUGCCUGCAUCUCCCACUGCCACGCAGAGCUGGCAGGAGGGGCUUUCCCUCUAGAAGCUGUCAGGCAGCUGUCAGCUCCUUGCUGCAGAGUCUCUUCCCUAUGUGAAAUGCAUACACCAUCAAUGUGAGGUGUAAAGCUGGCAUGGUCUGGAUACACAGCCACUGGCAAGCCCAGCAGAACAGUUCAUUGCUGUGCAGCAGCAGCUUUAAAUACCGAGUUUUGGUCUGACAGUCAUAGCUUAAAAUAGAAUAUUUUUCUUAAAAAAGGGCCAACAUUACAGUGCACAUCUGUAAGCAACUACAGAAAGGUGGGACUGCAUCUAAGUGCUACGCUGUAUUGCAAUAACAUUCAAUUAUCUCGUUCAUAAUAUAAAUAACCCCAAUUUGCUUGUACUUUUUUUAUAAGGGCA
ensembl:lncRNA